GUGGGGAAUAUUGGACAAUGGGCGAAAGCCUGAUCCAGCCAUGCCGCGUGUGUGAAGAAGGUCUUCGGAUUGUAAAGCACUUUAAGUUGGGAGGAAGGGCAGUAAGUUAAUACCUUGCUGUUUUGACGUUACCGACAGAAUAAGCACCGGCUAACUUCGUGCCAGCAGCCGCGGUAAUACGAAGGGUGCAAGCGUUAAUCGGAAUUACUGGGCGUAAAGCGCGCGUAGGUGGUUUUGUAAGUUGGAGGUGAAAUCCCCGGGCUCAACCUGGGAACUGCCUCCAAAACUGCAUGACUAGAGUACGGUAGAGGGUAGUGGAAUUUCCUGUGUAGCGGUGAAAUGCGUAGAUAUAGGAAGGAACGCCAGUGGCGAAGGCGACUACCUGGACUGAUACUGACACUGAGGUGCGAAAGCGUGGGGAGCAAACAGGAUUAGAUACCCCUGUAGUCC
rnacentral:rRNA from 1 species